UACGAAGGGGGCUAGCGUUGAUCGGAAUUACUGGGCGUAAAGCGCACGUAGGCGGCUUUCUAAGUCGGGGGUGAAAUCCUGGAGCUCAACUCCAGAACUGCCUUCGAUACUGGAAAGCUCGAGUCCGGGAGAGGUGAGUGGAACUGCGAGUGUAGAGGUGAAAUUCGUAGAUAUUCGCAAGAACACCAGUGGCGAAGGCGGCUCACUGGCCCGGUACUGACGCUGAGGUGCGAAAGCGUGGGGAGCAAACAGG
rnacentral:rRNA from 1 species